UAGGGAAUCUUCGGCAAUGGGGGGAACCCUGACCGAGCAACGCCGCGUGAGUGAAGAAGGUUUUCGGAUCGUAAAGCUCUGUUGUUAAGGAAGAACGAGUGUGAGAAUGGAAAGUUCAUGCUGUGACGGUACUUAACCAGAAAGGGACGGCUAACUACGUGCCAGCAGCCGCGGUAAUACGUAGGUCCCGAGCGUUAUCCGGAAUUAUUGGGCGUAAAGCGCGCGUAGGCGGUUUUUUAAGUCUGAUGUGAAAGCCCACGGCUCAACCGUGGAGGGUCAUUGGAAACUGGAAAACUUGAGUGCAGAAGAGGAAAGUGGAAUUCCAUGUGUAGCGGUGAAAUGCGCAGAGAUAUGGAGGAACACCAGUGGCGAAGGCGACUUUCUGGUCUGUAACUGACGCUGAGGCUCGAAAGCGUGGGUAGCAAACAGG
rnacentral:rRNA from 1 species